rnacentral:pre_miRNA from 1 species
AAAGUACUCCCUCUGUCCCAAUUUUUUUGUCUUAUAUUUGUUUAGAUACGAAUGUAUCUAGUCAAAUCUAGUAUUUAGAUACAUCCAUUUCUAGACAAAGCUAAGACAUGAAUUUUGGUACGGAGGGAGUAUCAU